AGAGUUUGAUCCUGGCUCAGAAUCAACGCUGGCGGCGUGCCUAACACAUGCGAGUCGAACGCGAAASCCCGCAAGGCAAANGCUAGAGUGGCAAACGGGUGAGUAACACGUGGGUGACCUACCUUCGAGCGGGGGAUAACGUYCCGAAAGGGCCUAAUACCGCAUGACAUCCUGCCUUUGAAGAGGUGGAGAUCAAAGCUGGGGAUCGCAAGACCUAGCACUCGAAGAGGGGCCCGCGCCUGAUUAGCUAGUUGGUGGGGUAACGGCUCACCAAGGCGACGRUCAGUAGCCGGCCUGAGAGGGCGGACGGCCACAMUGGGACUGAGACAMGGCCCAGACUCCUACGGGAGGCAGCAGUGGGGAAUUKUUCGCAAUGGGCGCAAGCUUGGACGRCGSAACGSCGC
rnacentral:rRNA from 1 species